GACGUAGGGCGCGAGCGUUGUCCGGAUUUAUUGGGCGUAAAGAGCUCGUAGGCGGCUUGUCGCGUCGACUGUGAAAUCCCGCGGCUCAACUGCGGGUCUGCAGUCGAUACGGGCAGGCUAGAGUUCGGUAGGGGAGACUGGAAUUCCUGGCGUAGCGGUGAAAUGCGCAGAUAUCAGGAGGAACACCAAUGGCGAAGGCAGAUCUCUGGGCCGUAACUGACGCUGAGGAGCGAAAGCAUGGGGAGCGAACAGG
rnacentral:rRNA from 1 species